CCUACGGGAGGCAGCAGUGAGGAAUAUUGGUCAAUGAGCUUACGCCUGAACCAGCCAAGUCGCGUGAGGGAAGACUGCCCUAUGGGUUGUAAACCUCUUUUGUCAGGGAGCAACGCCGGCUACGUGUAGCCGGACUGAGAGUACCUGAAGAAAAAGCAUCGGCUAACUCCGUGCCAGCAGCCGCGGUAAUACGGAGGAUCCGAGCGUUAUCCGGAUUUAGUGGGUUUAAGGGGAGCGUAGGUGGAUUGUUAAGUCAGUUGUGAAAGUUUGCGGCUCAACCGUAAAAUUGCAGUUGAAACUGGCGUUCUUGAGUGGGCGAGAAGUAUGCGGAAGGCGUGGUGUAGCGGUGAAAUGCAUAGAUAUCACGCAGAACUCCGAUUGCGAAGGCAGCAUACCGGCGCCCAACUGACGCUGAAGCACGAAAGCGUGGGUAUCGAACAGGAUUAGAUACCCUGGUAGUC
rnacentral:rRNA from 1 species